GAUGAACGCUGGCGGCGUGCCUAAUACAUGCAAGUCGAACGCUGGAGAUCUAGCUUGCUAGAUCGAAGGAGUGGCGAACGGGUGAGUAAUACAUAAGCAACCUACCCACGAAGACUGGGAUAAUCUCUGGAAACGGGGACUAAUACCGGAUAGGUAAUCGGAAGGCAUCUUCUGGUUAUUAAAGGUUAAAAACACUGGUGGAUGGGCUUAUGGGGCAUUAGUUAGUUGGUGAGGUAACGGCCCACCAAGACGAUGAUGCGUAGCCGGCCUGAGAGGGUGAACGGCCACAUUGGGACUGAGACACGGCCCAGACUCCUACGGGAGGCAGCAGUAGGGAAUUUUCGGCAAUGGGGGCAACCCUGACCGAGCAACGCCGCGUGAGUGAAGACGGCCUUCGGGUUGUAAAGCUCUGUUGUAAGGGAAGAACGGUAGAUAGAGAAUAUCUAAGUGACGGUACCUUACCAGAAAGCCACGGCUAACUACGUG
rnacentral:rRNA from 1 species